rnacentral:rRNA from 1 species
UACGAAGGGGGCUAGCGUUGCUCGGAAUCACUGGGCGUAAAGGGCGCGUAGGCGGCCGAUCAAGUCAGAUGUGAAAGUCCUGGGCUUAACCUGGGGACUGCAUUUGAUACUGAUUGGCUUGAAUGCAGGAGAGGAUAGCGGAAUUCCCAGUGUAGAGGUGAAAUUCGUAGAUAUUGGGAAGAACACCGGUGGCGAAGGCGGCUAUCUGGACUGUGAUUGACGCUGAGGCGCGAAAGCGUGGGGAGCAAACAGG